CGCUGGCGGCGUGCUUAACACAUGCAAGUCGAACGAUGAAGCGGUGCUUGCACCGUGGAUUAGUGGCGAACGGGUGAGUAACACGUGAGUAACCUGCCUUCCACUCUGGGAUAAGCGCUGGAAACGGCGUCUAAUACUGGAUAUGACAUUGCCCUGCAUGGGGUGGUGUGGAAAGAUUUUUUCGGUGGUUGAUGGACUCGCGGCCUAUCAGCUUGUUGGUGGGGUAAUGGCCUACCAAGGCGACGACGGGUAGCCGGCCUGAGAGGGUGACCGGCCACACUGGGACUGAGACACGGCCCAGACUCCUACGGGAGGCAGCAGUGGGGAAUAUUGCACAAUGGGCGCAAGCCUGAUGCAGCGACGCCGCGUGAGGGAUGACGGCCUUCGGGUUGUAAACCUCUUUCAGCUCUGACGAAGCCCGCUUGCGGGUGACGGUAGGAGCAGAAGAAGCACCGGCUAACUACGUGCCAGCAGCCGCGGUAAUACGUAGGGUGCGAGCGUUGUCCGGAAUUAUUGGGCGUAAAGAGCUUGUAGGCGGCUUGUCGCGUCUGCUGUGAAAGCCCGGGGCUUAACCCCGGGUCUGCAGUGGGUACGGGCAGGCUAGAGUGUGGUAGGGGAGACUGGAAUUCCUGGUGUAGCGGUGGAAUGCGCAGAUAUCAGGAGGAACACCGAUGGCGAAGGCAGGUCUCUGGGCCAUUACUGACGCUGAGAAGCGAAAGCGUGGGGAGCGAACAGGAUUAGAUACCCUGGUAGUCCACGCCGUAAACGUUGGGCGCUAGGUGUGGGUCCCAUUCCACGGGGUCCGUGCCGCAGCUAACGCAUUAAGCGCCCCGC
rnacentral:rRNA from 1 species